GAUGAACGCUGGCGGCGUGCCUAAUACAUGCAAGUCGAGCGAACAGACGAGGAGCUUGCUCCUUCGACGUUAGCGGCGGACGGGUGAGUAACACGUAGGUAACCUACCUAUAAGACUGGGAUAACUUCGGGAAACCGGAGCUAAUACCGGAUAAUAUUUUGAACCGCAUGGUUCGAUAGUGAAAGAUGGCUUUGCUAUCACUUAUAGAUGGAUCUGCGCCGUAUUAGCUAGUUGGUAAGGUAACGGCUUACCAAGGCAACGAUACGUAGCCGACCUGAGAGGGUGAUCGGCCACACUGGAACUGAGACACGGUCCAGACUCCUACGGGAGGCAGCAGUAGGGAAUCUUCCGCAAUGGGCGAAGGCCUGACGGAGCAACGCCGCGUGAGUGAUGAAGGUCUUCGGAUCGUAAAACUCUGUUAUUAGGGAAGAACAAACGUGUAAGUAACUGUGCACGUCUUGACGGUACCUAAUCAGAAAGCCACGGCUAACUACGUG
rnacentral:rRNA from 1 species